UGCAAGUCGAGCGGUAAGGCUCUGCACAGGUUGUUUGAUCAAGAAUUAAAUUUCUUUAUACCCCUUCUAGGCUAGAAGAGGCGACGUAUCGAAUGAUGUGUGUAGAGUACACGAGCGGCGGACGGCUGAGUAACGCGUAGGAACAUACCCCAAAGUGAGGGAUAACUGCCCGAAAGGGUAGCUAAUACCGCAUGUGGUCUUCGGAUUAAAGCUUUAUGCGCUUUGGGAAUGGCCUGCGUCUGAUUAGUUUGUUGGUGAGGUAAUGGCUCACCAAGACUACGAUCGGUAGCUGGUCUGAGAGGAUGAUCAGCCAGACUGGAACUGAGACACGGUCCAGACUCCUACGGGAGGCAGCAGUAGGGUAAUUUUCCACAAUGGACGAAAGUCUGAUGGAGCAACGCCGCGUGCAGGAUGAAGGCCCUUGGGUUGUAAACUGCUUUUAUGUGCGAAGAUUAUGACAGUAACACAUGAAUAAGGGUCGGCUAACUACGUG
rnacentral:rRNA from 1 species